rnacentral:rRNA from 1 species
AUUGAACGCUGGCGGCAGGCCUAACACAUGCAAGUCGGGCGCGCGGCGGACGGGCGAGUAAUUUAUGGGGAUCUGCCUGAUGGCGGGGGAUAACUACUGGAAACGGUAGCUAAUACCGCAUACCAUCAGAUCAACCCUUAUUGGAUUAGCUAGUUGGUGAGGUAACGGCUUACCUAGGCGACGAUCCCUAGCUGGUCUGAGAGGAGGAUCAGCCACACUGGGACUGAGACACGGCCCAGACUCCUACGGGAGGCAGCAGUGGGGAAUAUUGCAAAAUGGGCGAAAGCCUGAUUCAGCAAGGCCGCGUGUAUGAAGAAGGCCUUCGGGUUGUAAAGUACUUUCAGUCGGGAGGCGUUACCGACAGAGGAAGCACCGGCUAACUCCGUGCCAGCAGCCGCGGUAAUUC